UUGCAUGAUGACAAAGUGCUCACUACUUCUACUAGCGUCCGAUGUGCCGCUGACGAUCACCGUUUGAACUUCAUCUUUCGCUCCGAGCUGAGGG
rnacentral:snoRNA from 1 species